rnacentral:rRNA from 1 species
CUAAGGUAGCGAAAUUCCUUGUCGGGUAAGUUCCGACCUGCACGAAUGGUGUAACGAUCUGGGCACUGUCUCAGCCACGAGCUCGGUGAAAUUGAAGUAUCGGUGAAGAUGCCGAUUACCCGCAACGGGACGAAAAGACCCCGUGCACCUUUACUACAGCUUCACAUUGUGCUUGAAUAUAAGAUGUGUAGGAUAGGUGGGAGACUAUGAAGGUGUAUCGCUAGAUAUGCUGGAGUCAUCGUUGAAAUACCACCCUUCUUAUAUUUAGGUUCUAAUCUACGAAAGUGGAGACAUUGUGUGGUGGGUAGUUUGACUGGGGUGGUCGCCUCCAAAAGAGUAACGGAGGCUUGCAAAGGUACCCUCAGCAUGGUUGGUAAUCAUGCAAAGAGCAUAUUAGUAUAAGGGUGCUUGACUGAGAGACCGACGGGUCGAACAGGUAGGAAACUAGGCUAAAGUGAUCCGGUAGUUCCGCAUGGAAGGGCUAUCGCUCAAAGGAUAAAAGGUACGCCGGGGAUAACAGGCUGAUCUCCCCCAAGAGCUCAUAUCGACGGGGGGGUUUGGCACCUCGAUGUCGGCUCGUCACAUCCUGGGGCUGGAGAAGGUCCCAAGGGUUGGGCUGUUCGCCCAUUAAAGUGGCACGCGAGCUGGGUUCAGAACGUCGCAAGACAGUUCGGUCUCUAUCUGUUGUGGGCGUAGGAAUAUUGAAGAGGUCUGACACUAGUACGAGAGGACCGUGUUGGACGAACCUCUAGUGUACCAGUUGUGCCGCCAGGUGCAUUGCUGGGUAGCUAUGUUCGGUCAGGAUAAGCGCUGAAAGCAUCUAAGCGCGAAGCCAUCUCUGAGAUGAAUAUUCCAUGGAAUUUAUUCCAAGAGGGUCGUAGAAGAUGACUACGUAGAUAGGCUAUAGGUGGAAGUGCAGCGAUGUAUGGAGCCGAGUAGUACUAAUUACCCGAAUGCUUCCUUUU